rnacentral:rRNA from 1 species
CCCUUAGAUGUUCUGGGCCGCACGCGCGCUACACUGAAUGGAUCAACGUGUUUUCCCUUCCCGAGAGGGACGGGUAACCCGCUGAACCCCAUUCGUGGUAGGGAUCGGAGCUUGCAAUUGUUCUCCGUGAACCAGGAAUUCCCAGUAAGCGCAAGUCAUAAGCUUGCGUUGAUUACGUCCCUGCCCUUUGUACACACCGCCCGUCGCUCCUACCGAUUGAAUGGUCCGGUGAAGCGUUCGGACCGUGGCCUUUGGACGGUUCGCCGUCUGUUGGCUGCGGGAAGUUCGUUAAACCUUAUCAUUUAGAGGAAGGAGAAGUCGUAACA